GGAACGGUGGUUUAGUGGUUAGGACGUUUGCCUCGCACCUCCAGGGUUGGGGGUUUGAAUCCCGCCUAUGCUC